rnacentral:rRNA from 1 species
AUACGUAGGUGGCAAGCGUUAUCCGGAUUUACUGGGUGUAAAGGGCGUGUAGGCGGGACAGCAAGUCAGAUGUGAAAAUUAUGGGCUCAACCCAUAACCUGCAUUUGAAACUGUUGUUCUUGAGUGAUGGAGAGGCAGGCGGAAUUCCGUGUGUAGCGGUGAAAUGCGUAGAUAUACGGAGGAACACCAGUGGCGAAGGCGACUUACUGGACUGUAACUGACGCUGAGUCACGAAAGCGUGGGUAGC